UACGUAGGUGGCAAGCGUUGUCCGGAUUUACUGGGCGUAAAGAGCGUGUAGGCGGCCAAGCAGGUCCGUUGUGAAAACUGGAGGCUUAACCUCCAGACGUCGACGGAAACCGCGUGGCUAGAGUCCGGAAGAGGAGAGUGGAAUUCCUGGUGUAGCGGUGAAAUGCGCAGAUAUCAGGAAGAACACCCGUGGCGAAGGCGGUUCUCUGGGACGGUACUGACGCUGAGACGCGAAAGCGUGGGGAGCGAACAGG
rnacentral:rRNA from 1 species